rnacentral:rRNA from 1 species
AUGCCCCUUAUGACCUGGGCUACACACGUGCUACAAUGGACGGUACAAAGAGCUGCAAGACCGCGAGGUGGAGCUAAUCUCAUAAAACCGUUCUCAGUUCGGAUUGUAGGCUGCAACUCGCCUACAUGAAGCUGGAAUCGCUAGUAAUCGCGGAUCAGCAUGCCGCGGUGAAUACGUUCCCGGGCCUUGUACACACCGCCCGUCACACCACGAGAGUUUGUAACACCCGAAGUCGGUGGGGUAACCUUUUGGAGCCAGCCGCCUAAGGUGGGACAGAUGAUUGGGGUGAAGUCGUAACAAGGUAGCCGUAUCGGAAGGUGCGGCUGGAUCACCUCCUUUCUAUGGAGA